GAACUGUGGUCCACUGCCAAAAAUAAAGCAGAGAUUAGGAGGAUUUGUUUUCCUCUCACAGAGGUACGGGAGUCAUUGUUCUGCAAAUGGCAUUGAAA